rnacentral:rRNA from 1 species
CCUACGGGAGGCAGCAGUGAGGAAUAUUGGUCAAUGGUCGGGAGACUGAACCAGCCAAGCCGCGUGAGGGAGGAAGGUACAGAGUAUCGUAAACCUCUUUUGUCAGGGACGAAGCAAGUGACGGUACCUGACGAAUAAGCCACGGCUAACUACGUGCCAGCAGCCGCGGUAAUACGUAGGUGGCAAGUGUUAUCCGGAUUUACUGGGUGUAAAGGGUGCGUAGGCUGUGAGGUAAGUCAGCGGUGAAAUGCCCCCGCUCAACGGGGUGAAGUGCCAUUGAUACUGCCUUGCUGGAAUGCGGAUGCCGUGGGAGGAAUGUGUGGUGUAGCGGUGAAAUGCAUAGAUAUCACACAGAACACCGAUUGCGAAGGCAUCUCACGAAUCCGCGAUUGACGCUGAUGCACGAAAGCGUGGGUAUCAAACAGGAUUAGAUACCCGAGUAGUC